GUCUUAGCUCAGUUAGUUGGAGCGUGGUGCUGAUAAUGCCAAGGUUGCAGGUUCGAUCCCCGUAUAGGACU
rnacentral:tRNA from 1 species